GACGAACGCUGGCGGCGUGCUUAACACAUGCAAGUCGAGCGGUAAGGCCCUUUCGGGGGUACACGAGCGGCGAACGGGUGAGUAACACGUGGGUGACCUGCCUUUAGCUCUGGGAUAAGCCUGGGAAACCGGGUCUAAUACCGGAUAUGACUCCGCGGCGCAUGUUGUGGGGUGGAAAGCCUUGUGCGGCUGGAGAUGGGCCCGCGGCCUAUCAGCUUGUUGGUGGGGUGAUGGCCUACCAAGGCGACGACGGGUAGCCGGCCUGAGAGGGCGACCGGCCACACUGGGACUGAGACACGGCCCAGACUCUACGGGAGGCAGCAGUGGGGAAUCUUGCGCAAU
rnacentral:rRNA from 1 species